rnacentral:rRNA from 1 species
GUUGGCUCAGAAGCAGCCACUCAUUCAAAGAGUGCGUAAUAGCUCACUGGUCGAGCGUCUUUGCGCGGAGAAUUUAACGGGGCUAAACCUGGCACCGAAGCUUAGGCAAUGUAGUGAUACAUUGGGUAGGGGAGCGUUGUAUACGCGGUGAAACAGUAGCGCAAGCGGCUGUGGAGUGUAUAGAAGUGAGAAUGCCGGAAUGAGUAGCGCGAAUGCAGUGAGAAUCUGCAUGGCCGAAAGCCUCAGGUUUUUGGAGGAAGGUUCGUCCGCUCCAAGUUAGUCGGGAGCUAAGGUGAGGCCGAAAGGCGUAGCCGAUGCACAGACGGUAGAGAUUCCGUCACCACCAAAAGAGUUAAGCACAGGGACACAUUUGAAGUCUCAGAGCCGGGUGUUGGUUCCGGUAGAGAUCGAGGGAAGUUAGUACCGAAGUCUGAGAUGGAAGAUGGCGAGAAAAGCUGUGUGUAUUUCUGAGGUGCCCGUACCGCAAACCGACACAGGUAGGUAGGAAGAAGAUUCUAAGGCCAACGGGAGAAGGGUUGUUAAGGAACUCGGCAAAUUGACCCCGUAACUUCGGGAGAAGGGGUGCUCCAGAGAUGGAGCCGCAGAGAAUCGGCCCAAGCAACUGUUUACCAAAAACACAGGUUUGUGCUAAAUCGAAAGAUGACGUAUACGAGCUGACGCCUGCCCGGUGCUGGAAGGUUAAGAGGAGAUGUGCAAGCAUUGAAUCGAAGCCCCAGUGAACGGCGGCCGUAACUAUAACGGUCCUAAGGUAGCGAAAUUCCUUGUCAGGUAAGUUCUGACCCGCAUGAAAGGCGUAAUGAUUUGGGCACUGUCUCAACAGCCCGCCCGGCGAAAUUGUAGUACCGGUGAAGAUGCCGGUUACCCGCGACAAGACGGAAAGACCCCAUGGAGCUUUACUGUAGCCUAAUAUUGGGUUUCGAUGUUGCAUGCACAGGAUAGAUGGGACACAGGGAAACAAUCGCUUUGGCGGUUGCGGAGUGGCCGUUGGGAUACCAUCCUUGCGAUAUUGGAAUUCUAACCUGCGGCUCUGAAUCGAGUCGGGGGACAUUGUUAGGUGGGCAGUUUGACUGGGGCGGUCGCCUCCUAAAAAGUAACGGAGGCGUUCAAAGGUUCGCUCAGCUUGAACGGAAAUCAAGCAAAAGAGUGCAAACGCAGAAGCGAGCCUAACUGCGAGACUGACGGGUCGAGCAGUAACGAAAGUUGGAGUUAG